rnacentral:tRNA from 1 species
GGCGUGGAGGGGCAGCGAGCCUUCAAAACCGAUGCCGAUUGGCACGGCUUUCUGUUCGAUUCCGU